GGGGUCGGGCCGCGGGCCGAGUCCUGCGCCCGCCGUGGCCGGCAGUGCCUUCGUGGGGCACCCAGGCCAGGGUGGCCUGGAGCGGCAGGAUCUCAGGGUCCACUGCUCUUAGUCCAGAUCCUCGGUGGCGCCCCAGGAGGAGCUGGGGUUCAAAGCACAGUUAAGCCAGGGGGAGGGGACGGCCAGGCACUUGGAACUUCUCAGGGGCCACCCCUGUCGAGAGCCUGAGAGCCUUUGAACUUUGAACGGCUGUGGGCAGAGCAGGCCCACCCAGGCCUGAGGGAUUUGGGCCCUGACGGAAACCAGAUCAGGCCUCCGGACAGCCUGUCCCUGGUCGGUCCCCAGGCCAGGAGGCAGUUAAUUGCACUAAGUGCACAGGUUCCCCGUGCCCCCCACCUGGCCAGACCCGGAGUUCUCAGGAGUUAGACACACGUUUUCAAAGCCCCCCUUUCUGCCUCCUCCGCUGUGAGGUGACCCCAGAAGUGCGUGCUUUCUCGGGCGUGCUUCUGACUGACACCGGGGCCUUGUGGGCUCCAGGCAGGGUCCCCUCUGACCUGGGCGGGUGGCCUCAGCCUGCUGGCGCCAGGGUGGGAACCUCCCAGGGCUGCCCGGCCCCGGGCCCAUUAACUGCCCCUCUGCCGGGGCGGCCUGGGGGCUUCCUGGGCUUCUCCAGUUUCUGUGUAAACAGCCAGAGCGGCGGGGCGUGGGGCGCGGCCACCGGCCACCGGCCACUAGAUGGCAGUAGCGCCACUGCGAACCCCGCCCGCGGCCGCUCAGCUUCGGGGCUGUUGGUCAGGAAACCAAGUCAGCGUGGCAGCUUUUUGGGAAAACAGUUGCAGCUGUUGUCCUCGACAGGGGCCUCGUAAUUAUUUGGCCUAAUAUUUGCUGUGCAUAAAGUCAGCCCGGGCAGGGGGAGAGCACCGCUGGCCUCAUAAAGAGGCCUGUGUCCUCCGCGCUCAGCCUGCCGGCCGUCUUUGUCCUGGCAUGCGGUCGCCACCCCGUGCGUCCGCAUUCGCCACGAGGCCCUUCGCAGGCGAGCUGUAGUUACAAGUGGCCUUUGAGUCACCCGAGCCUCAUGUUGUCCCUCGGCCCCCGCCCCCGACGCAUGAAAACUGAACUGGGCAGCGCCUGGACCUGCUAUCUGCAGCUGCCCCUCGCUCCACGGGCCUCUCUUCCUCUGCGGACCCCGGGUGGGACAGACAGGCCGCCCUGCUGGGCACAGACCCUGCCACUGCAAAGUCAAAUUUGUGAUGCCCCCGGCUCCCGUGGCCAGGAGGUCGGGGAGCGCCUCUGAGCGAGGGACCCUCCUCUGUCCCCUGAAGCUGAGGCCGACCUCCCCGGAGUGUCCCUUUGGGCCCGCUUGGGGCUUCUGAACACAGCUGAUUGUAAAGCACACAGAGGGUCAAUCAGAAAGACAGAUUAAGUCGCCAGGUUCCUUGUGAGCCGCUGCUGCACCCGCUGGGAGUCCCACACCCCCCACCCCACACCCCACAACCUGAUAAACAUCUCUUUGGCCCAAAGUCCAGCUCCAGCGAGGGCCUCAGUGGCCCACACAACAAACAGCGCUGACCUGGUGUUUACACAGCGGCAGGAAUGAAUGGCCAGCGGCGGGGCCCAGCAGGAGCCGUCCGCAGACAAUGGCGCUGGGCUCCCAGGACUGCUCCGGGGCUGGCCUCCUCUCCUCGCUUUUUAUGACAUUUUUCUGCUUUCCUGUACUUUUCCACCAUCCGCUUCUCUCUCCCGUUUGGAAGCGUUGAGGGUGUCGUUUUUGAAAGUACGAGGUGAAUUUCUCUGGAAGGGGAGCCACAGUCGGCACCCACAGAUGGUCACGGCUUCCUCCGCCCCCCCCCCCGCCCCCACAAGCUAUUGCAAAUUGCCAUCUUUGUAUUUAUAUUUAAAAUGUCAUUUUAGGUUUCCCCCACCUCAGAAAACUAGCAGAAUCACCUCGAUAUAUUAAACAUAACCCCCCUCCCGCCCCCCGUUCUGGGCAGUCAGCCCUGCAUGUAAACUAUUGCCCUUUGGUAUUUUAAAAAAGAAAAAAAAAAGUCUUGAAAUGUG